GGAAAGUGUUUUUGAAGUCAGAAAUAUUAGCUGUGAUUUGUACCUCAGUGGUUUUCCAUCUUAAUUCCUGUUUUAAACCAGAACACCGAUGUCCUCUAUGGAUGUUUUAGUUCCAUGCAGGUUCAUAAAAGAUGUUCAGUUCAUUCAAAUGCAUCAAUAACUGCUCUAAAUCCAAAGGGACGUGCACUGAUGGUUCAAUCGUGUUCCAUCAUAAACUAUUGUCUUCUGAUUCCUGUAGUCUGAGCUCUGUUAAAAAGUCAAUCAGCAUCGUUGUGCUGGAACUUGUUAAAAUCCCUUUUUAUGGUCAGAAAUAUUCAAUAUUUAGUUAUUGAUAAAUCAUGAACACUUUUUUCUGAAUUUACUCGUUUCUUUUCUUUACUUUUUUCUGUCUUGUUUUUCCUGCUUCCUGUUUGUGGCUUUAAAGUCUCACUCCAGUUACAUUUUGGUCUAUGAUAAAAGUAUUCCUAUAGUCUUUUAAGGAUGAGUAGCCUCCUUUAGUCAAAAAACAAGGAACAUUUUUUGUGUUUGUUCUGCAGCUCAGCAGGAGCUCAAUGAAAUGGUGAGACUGUUGCCCUUUGUAGAGAUCAUCCCUUUAUUAACUCUCUCUUGUUAGCUCAGAUUACAACCCUGAACUAACACUAAUAAUAAGUGGAUAGGAUCUUAGGCUUUAUCGACCACUGGCGCCGUUCGAACAGCUGCGUGUUUUGGCAUCUCCGCCUUUUAGAUUGUUUUUUUUUCUUGGUUUUUCCAACCCUGUUCACGGUGGGAUUACUUUUUGACACCUCUAUUAUUCUACUUUCUUUUUCUCUACUUUUUAUCGAGACAUUUUUUUUCUUGUUCAUGUUUUUGUUUCUAACGGACUUAUCAACGGCGCGUUUGUUGUAUACCCGUGAUCAGCUGAUAGCCCUGCCCAACACCGAGAAACUGGACAUCCCCAAAGAGAUCCGGAGGAAGAGAAGAGGCUGCAGAGCUGGACAGAAGCUCCAGGAGAGGAGGCGGACAUAUGAGCCCCAUGUGCCAGCUGUCAUCACGGGUAACGUCCGUUCUCUUUAUAAGAUCGAGGAGCUUUCUGACCAAUCAGCGGGAGUUCAGGGAGCUCAGCAUCAUGUGCUUCACGGAGACCUGAAUGGACUGACUCCAGACUCCGUGGUCUCGUUGGAGGGGUUCAAACUUCUACGAGUGGACAGCAGUGAGGCGGAGAGUGGAAAGAAGAAAGGUGGGGGGGGGGGGUCGCGGUGUACGUCAAUCACAGGUGGUGCAACCCGGUGCACAUCUGCACUAAAGAACAGCUCUGGUCUGCAAACAUCGAGCUACUCGCUGUGGUCAUGCGGCCGUACCAUCUCCCGAGGGAGUUUACACUCGUUAUAUCGUUUAACGUGUACAUCCCUCCCACUGCUGAUGCUGCAGCUGCGUGUGAGCUGCUCCAGGCGCGGUGACCCGGAUGCAGACCCUCCUGCUCAUCACCGGGGACUUUAACCACGCCUCCUUAUCUGCCACUCUCCCCUCUCUAAUUCAUAUGUGGAUUGCCUGUGGUUCGGUGCUUCAGCAACAACAAGCCCUGGGUGACCCCUGAGCUUAAAGCCCUGCUGAACCAGAAGAAGAGGGCUUUCUCUUCAGGGGACAGAGAGGAGCAGAGGAAAGUUCAACAUGAACUCCAGCGUAAGAUCAGACAGGCCAAGGACAGCUACAGGGAGGAGCUGGAGGAGCGGCUGGAAGAGAACAACACACGGGAGGAUUGGGGAGGACUGAAGAACAUGUCAGGCUUUGGACAGGCUCCCUUUUCCCAGUCUCUGCCCCACUCCAACUGACCACAUCACCAGCCCCCCUUUGUCCCCCCCCUCUCCUUUACAUCAGACCAGGUGAGGAGGGAACUCGAGACUGAAGACCAGGAAAGCUGCAGGACCAGACGGCAUCAGCCCCAGUCUGCUCAGGAGCUGUGAGGUCAGCUCUGUGAUGUACUGCAGUACAUCUUCAACCUGAGUCUGGGGAAGGUCCCUCUCCUGUGGAAGACCUCCUGUGUGGUUCCGGUUCCGAAGACAUCAAACCCAAAGGAGCCCAACCACUACAGGGCAGUCGCCCUGACCUCCCACCUCCAUGGAGAGACUCAUCCUUAAACAUCUCCGCUCUGUGGUGAACACCACAAUUGACCCGCUGCAGUUCGCCUACAGGCCAAGGAUCGGGGGGGGGAGACGCCAUCAUCUACCUGCUGGACCGGGUCUUGACUCAUCUGGAGACUGCUGGGAGCGCUGGGAGAAUGAUGUUUUUUGACUUCUCCAGCGCCUUCAACACCAUCCAGCCUGGACUUCUAUGAGUGAAGCUGGAGUGAGUGGUAGUGGAUAAGCGACUGGUGGGAUGGUCCAUGGAGUACCUGACCAACCGGCCAUAGUAUGUGUGUCUGCACAACUGUGUCUCUGAGGUGGUGGUCUGCAGUACUGGAGCCCCUCAGGAAACAGUACUGUCACCGUUCUUCUUCACACUCUACUCCUCGGACUUCACCUACAACACCAACAGCUGUCAUACUCAGAUGAUUCAGCUGUUGUGGGCUGUGUGUCUGAGGGAGAUGAUGCAGAGUAUAGGUCGGUCAUCGAGGACUUUGUGAGCUGGUGUGAGAACAACCACCUGUGUCUGAACACCAGCAACACCAAGGAAAUGGUGAUUGACUGCCGUAGAAGGACGGUGACCCACACCUGGUGAACAUCCAGGGAGAUGAAAUAGUCACUGUUGACAGUUUCAAGUACCUGGGUGUUCAUCUGAACAACAAACUGGGCUGGUCCCACAACAUCAAUGACCUUUACAAGAAAGGUCAAAGUCGCCUCCACCUCCUGAGAAGACUGCGGUCCUUUGGGGUCUGCAGACAUCUGCUGAGGACGUUCUAUGAUUCGGCGGUGGCCUCGGCUCUUUUCUAGGCUGUUGUCUGCUGGGAAGCGAGCAGCUCUGACCGGGAUAAGAAGAAAAUCAACAGGCGGGUGAGGAGGGCCAGCUCUGUCCUGGGCUGCUCGCUGGACUCUGUGGAGGAGGUGGGUGUGAGGAGGAUGUUGUCCAAAGUCAGAUCCAUCAUGGACAACGGCUCUCACCCUCUGCAUCAGACUCUGGUGGGGCUGAAAAGCUCCUUCAGCUGCAGACUGAGACACCCCAGUGUAGAAAUGAGCGCUACCGUAGACCACUCCUCUGCACAGCCAUCAGACUGUACAACACCGCGGUUUAAAUGUUUAAAUAUCGCAUAUGUAUAUAAAGGCAUGUAGAUAGGUGUGUAUAUUAUUUAUAUUCAUAUUUAUGUUAUAGGAAUAUGUUGUUUGCAAAUUUGUAGAUCUAUGUGUGUUUAUACUUAUAUAUACGUGUUUUUAUGUUAAUAUGCUACAUGCAACUGUUUUUUUUGGACUUUUUCUGGUACCAUGACAGAUUAAUUUAUCCCUCUGGGAAUAAAGUUCAAUUCAGUGGAA